GAUGAACGCUGGCGGCGUGCCUAAUACAUGCAAGUCGAGCGAACGGACGAGAAGCUUGCUUCUCUGAUGUUAGCGGCGGACGGGUGAGUAACACGUGGAUAACCUACCUAUAAGACUGGGAUAACUUCGGGAAACCGUAGCUAAUACCGGAUAAUAUUUUGAACCGCAUGGUUCAAAAGUGAAAGACGGUCUUGCUGUCACUUAUAGAUGGAUCCGCGCUGCAUUAGCUAGUUGGUAAGGUAACGGCUUACCAAGGCAACGAUGCAUAGCCGACCUGAGAGGGUGGUCGGCCACACUGGAACUGAGACACGGUCCAGACUCCUACGGGAGGCAGCAGUAGGGAAUCUUCCGAAAUGGGCGAAAGCCUGACGGAGCAACGCCGCGUGAGUGAUGAAGGUCUUCGGAUCGUAAAACUCUGUUAUUAGGGAAGAACAUAUGUGUAAGUAACUGUGCACAUCUUGACGGUACCUAAUCAGAAAGCCACGGCUAACUACGUG
rnacentral:rRNA from 1 species